rnacentral:rRNA from 1 species
UACGUAGGGUGCGAGCGUUAAUCGGAAUUACUGGGCGUAAAGCGUGCGCAGGCGGUUUUGUAAGCCGGAUGUGAAAUCCCCGGGCUUAACCUGGGAAUUGCGCUUGAAACUAGCGGGCUUGAGUGUGGCAGAGGGGGGUGGAAUUCCACGUGUAGCAGUGAAAUGCGUAGAGAUGUGGAGGAACACCGAUGGCGAAGGCAGCCCCCUGGGUCAACACUGACGCUCAUGCACGAAAGCGUGGGGAGCAAACAGG